rnacentral:rRNA from 1 species
AUUGAACGCUGGCGGCAGGCCUAACACAUGCAAGUCGAACGAGUGGCGGACGGGGGAGUAAUGUCUGGGAAACUGCCUGAUGGAGGGGGAUCACUACUGGAAACGGUCGCUAAUAACGCAUACCAUCAGAUGUGCCCAGAUGGGAGUAGCUGGUUGGUGGGGUAACGGCUCACCAAGGCGACGAUCCCUAGCUGGUCUGCGAGGAUGACCAGCCACACUGGAACUGAGACACGGUCCAGACUCCGAAGGGAGGCAGCAGAGGGGAAUAUUGGACAAUGGGGGCAAGACUGAUGCAGCCAUGCCGCGUGGAUGAAGAAGGCCUUCGGGUUGUAAAGUACUUUCAGCGGGGAGGCGUUACCCGCAGAAGAAGCACCGGCUAACUCCGUGCCAGCCGCCGCGGUAAUUC